rnacentral:rRNA from 1 species
GGGGCCUACGGGGGGCAGCAGUGGGGAAUAUUGCACAAUGGGGGAAACCCUGAUGCAGCGACGCCGCGUGAAGGAAGAAGUAUUUCGGUAUGUAAACUUCUAUCAGCAGGGAAGAAAAUGACGGUACCUGACUAAGAAGCCCCGGCUAACUACGUGCCAGCAGCCGCGGUAAUACGUAGGGGGCAAGCGUUAUCCGGAUUUAUUGGGUGUAAAGGGCGCGUAGAUGGAUAAACAAGUUGUUUGUGAAAUACCUCGGCUCAACUGAGGAACUGCAAGCAAAACUGUAUAUCUUGAGUACUGGAGGG